UGUGGGAGCGAGCUUGCUCGCGAUAGCGGUGUGUCAGUUACUUCAAUCCCAACUGAUCCGACGCUAUCGCGAGCAAGCUCACUCCCACA
rnacentral:misc_RNA from 1 species